UGUGUGUUGUCCCAGUGGUAAAGGCGUUGGCUUCAAUUUCUAAGGGUCUGGGUUCAAAACCCAUAACGCGCAU